UUCCAGUCUGAUCUCCAGAACAGACAAGGUUUGGCCAAACUCCAAAUUAAUCUCUUUUUAAAAAAUGCUUAUUGCAUAUAAUGUCAGAAAAAAAGUUUAACAAAUCUCAUUUCCCCUUUUAAGUUGUUCCAUGAUGAAUAUGGAAAGUGAAGACACAGGGGAGAAGUCCACAGCCCUUUACAGAUCUGAGUCGAUUAUACAUACAUUAUUUAUAUUGCAGACUGAGGAAUAAUGCUUCUUUCUGGACUCAGCCCAGGAGCUGACUGCUGUCAGCCCUCACAGAUCACAGUGGGAGCUGCUGCUUUGGUACUGCUGGUGGGAGACAGCACCACUUCCCAUGUACGGAUAUCAACACUGGAAAAUAAACUCUUCUUUGGAUCACUUAUAUUCCUUCUGUCACAGACUGGAUGUUCACAUACACGUCAUGGACAUUGCCAGUUGUCACAUGUGAAGGCUGACACACAACUGGGGAAAAUGAAGAUGAGAUGAGAUUUGAAGAUCCAAAUCCCUGCCAGCAAUGGGAAAAGCAGCAACAGAAGAUCCGUAAGGAAUGAUGAACACACGCCCCCC